GGGUUGCGGACAGUGUCUGGUGGGUAGUUUGACUGGGGCGGUCUCCUCCUAAAGAGUAACGGAGGAGCACGAAGGUUGGCUAAUCCUGGUCGGACAUCAGGAGGUUAGUGCAAUGGCAUAAGCCAGCUUGACUGCGAGCGUGACGGCGCGAGCAGGUGCGAAAGCAGGUCAUAGUGAUCCGGUGGUUCUGAAUGGAAGGGCCAUCGCUCAACGGAUAAAAGGUACUCCGGGGAUAACAGGCUGAUACCGCCCAAGAGUUCAUAUCGACGGCGGUGUUUGGCACCUCGAUGUCGGCUCAUCACAUCCUGGGGCUGAAGUAGGUCCCAAGGGUAUGGCUGUUCGCCAUUUAAAGUGGUACGCGAGCUGGGUUUAGAACGUCGUGAGACAGUUCGGUCCCUAUCUGCCGUGGGCGCUGGAGAACUGAGGGGGGCUGCUCCUAGUACGAGAGGACCGGAGUGGACGCAUCACUGGUGUUCGGGUUGUCAUGCCAAUGGCACUGCCCGGUAGCUAAAUGCGGAAGAGAUAAGUGCUGAAAGCAUCUAAGCACGAAACUUGCCCCGAGAUGAGUUCUCCCUGACUCCUUGAGAGUCCUGAAGGAACGUU
rnacentral:rRNA from 1 species